AGAGUUUGAUCCUGGCUCAAGAUGAACGCUAGCGGCAGGCCUAACACAUGCAAGUCGAGGGGUAGAACACUUCGGUGUUUGAGACCGGCGCACGGGUGCGUAACGCGUAUGCAAUCUACCUAUCACAGGGGAAUAGCCUUUGGAAACAGGGAUUAAUACCGCAUAAAGCAGGGACUCCGCAUGGAGAUAUUGCUAAAGAUUUAUCGGUGAUAGAUGGGCAUGCGUCUGAUUAGUUAGUUGGUGCGGGUAACGGCCUACCAAGACGAUGAUCAGUAGGGGGCGUCAGAGCGUGGUCCCCCACACUGGCACUGAGAUACGGGCCAGACUCCUACGGGAGGCAGCAGUAGGGAAUAUUGGGCAAUGGAUGCAAGUCUGACCCAGCCAUGCCGCGUGCAGGAAGAAGGUCCUCUGGAUUGUAAACUGCUUUUAUCGGGGAAGAAUAUUUUUCUUGCGAGGGAAUGUGACGGUACCCGAUGAAUAAGCCACGGCUAACUACGUGCCAGCAGCCGCGGUAAUACGUAGGUGGCAAGCGUUGUCCGGAUUUAUUGGGUUUAAAGGGUGCGGUAGGUGGUUUUUAUAAGUCAGUGGUGAAAGCUGGUUGCUCAACAAUCAAGUUGCCAUUGAUACUGUUAGACUUGAGAGAAGUGGAGGUUCAUGGAAAUGGGAUGGUGGUACCGGUGAAAAUGCAUAGAUUAUCAUCCAGAACGUCGGAUUGCGAAGGCAGGUGGGGCUGUACUUUUUUUCUGACACUGAGGCACGAAAGCGGUGGGGAUCAAACAGGAUUAGAUACCCUGUAGUCCCACGCUAGUAAACGAUGCGAACUAGCUUGCGGGUAUAAAGAUUCGGGGGGCUAAGAGAAACCGAUACUCCGCCUACCUGGGGUAGUUACGCCAGGCCAACGGAUGAAACUCAAGUAGUGGACGUCGUCGCACAGCAAGCAGCAUGUAUUUACGUUCGGACG
rnacentral:rRNA from 1 species